AGUGAACGCUGGCGGUAGGCCUAACACAUGCAAGUCGAACGGCGGCACAGUAAGAGCUUGCUCUUACGGGUGGCGAGUGGCGGACGGGUGAGGAAUACAUCGGAAUCUACUUUUUCGUGGGGGAUAACGUAGGGAAACUUACGCUAAUACCGCAUACGACCUACGGGUGAAAGCAGGGGAUCUUCGGACCUUGCGCGAUUGAAUGAGCCGAUGUCGGAUUAGCUAGUUGGCGGGGUAAAGGCCCACCAAGGCGACGAUCCGUAGCUGGUCUGAGAGGAUGAUCAGCCACACUGGAACUGAGACACGGUCCAGACUCCUACGGGAGGCAGCAGUGGGGAAUAUUGGACAAUGGGCGCAAGCCUGAUCCAGCCAUACCGCGUGGGUGAAGAAGGCCUUCGGGUUGUAAAGCCGUUUUGUUGGGAAAGAAAAGCAGCAGGUUAAUACCCCGCUGUUCUGACGGUACCCAAAGAAUAAGCACCGGCUAACUUCGUG
rnacentral:rRNA from 1 species